rnacentral:rRNA from 1 species
AUUGAACGCUGGCGGCAGGCUUAACACAUGCAAGUCGAGCGGGGUGAUGGUGCUUGCACUAUCACUUAGCGGCGGACGGGUGAGUAAUGCUUAGGAAUCUGCCUAUUAGUGGGGGACGACAUCUCGAAAGGGAUGCUAAUACCGCAUACGUCCUACGGGAGAAAGCAGGGGAUCACUUGUGACCUUGCGCUAAUAGAUGAGCCUAAGUCGGAUUAGCUAGUUGGUGGGGUAAAGGCCUACCAAGGCGGCGAUCUGUAGCGGGUCUGAGAGGAUGAUCCGCCACACUGGGACUGGGACACGGCCCAGACUCCUACGGGAGGUAGCAGUGGGGAAUAUUGGACAAUGGGGGGAACCCUGAUCCAGCCAUGCCGCGUGUGUGAAGAAGGCCUUAUGGUUGUAAAGCACUUUAAGCGAGGAGGAGGCUCUUUUGGUUAAUACCCAAGAUGAGUGGACGUUACUCGCAGAAUAAGCACCGGCUAACUCUGUGCCAGCAGCCGCAGUAA